AAGGGUAUAGCUCAAUGGUGGAGCGCAUGCUUAGCUUGCAUGAGGUCCUGGGUUCAAUCCCCAGUACCUCCA
rfam:Camelus ferus unplaced genomic scaffold scaffold145, whole genome shotgun sequence.